AGAUAUAAACUAUGCACAGUUGAGGACAAGAACUGGAACUCAGCUGAGGAAGCAGUUACGAAGCACGGUCUGCUUAUAUGCAUUUUACACAGACUGGCCAAGAAGUCUAUCUGCUUAUUGCAGCAGGGUUCUCAACAAGGAAAAUAUAGUCAGGAUGUCAAUCUGUGAGCAGAA